rnacentral:rRNA from 1 species
CGGUGGAAACUGCCUGGCUUGGGACCGGAAGACCAGAGGGGUACGUCCGGGGUAGGAGUGAAAUCCCGUAAUCCUGGACGGACCACCGGUGGCGAAAGCGCCUCUGGAAGACGGAUCCGACGGUGAGGGACGAAAGCUCGGGUCACGAACCGGAUUAAAUACCCGGGUAGUCCGAGCUGUAAACGAUGUCUGCUAGGUGUGCCACAGGCUACGAGCCUGUGGUGUGCCGCAGGGAAGCCGUGAAGCACACCGCCUGGGAAGUACGUCCGCAAGGAUGAAACUUAAAGGAAUUGGCGGGGGAGCACUACAACCGGAGGAGCCUGCGGUUUAAUUGGACUCAACGCCGGACAUCUCACCAGCAUCCACAGUAGGAGUGACGGUCAGUGUGAUGAGCUUACCAAACCUACUGAGAGGAGGUGCAUGGCCGCCGUCAGCUCGUACCGUGAGGCGUCCUGUUAAGUCAGGCAACGAGCGAGACCCGCACUCCUAAUUGCCAGCAACACCCUUGUGGUGGUUGGGUACAUUAGGAGGACUGCCAGUGCCAAACUGGAGGAAGGAACGGGCAACGGUAGGUCAGUAUGCCCCGAAUGUGCUGGGCAACACGCGGGCUACAAUGGUCGAGACAGUGCGAUGCAACCCCGAGAGGGGGCGCUAAUCUCCGAAACUCGAUCGUAGUUCGGAUUGCGGACUGAAACUCGUCCGCAUGAAGCUGGAUUCCGGUAGUAAUCGACGUUCCAGAUGACUGCGGUGCAUACGUCCUGCUCCCUUG